AAGAAAUUAAGUUCAGUAGUGGUGGGGAAAGGGGUCAGGGGAGGGGGGUUAUAAGUAUAAUUUAGGACCAGUACAUGAUUGCACUUCUCUAUACUAUAGAUGAUAAGCUGCUAUUUAUAUACUUGUUCUGUACAAAUACUUCUAUACCAGGAUAGGAUACUACUACUUUGAAAUAGCUCUCAAUUAACAUUGCAAAAUGAGCAUAACAAACUGGAAUUCUAAACAUGUUUGUUUCUACCAAGAAACUUAUUUAAAAGAUGAGACAUAUCUUCGAACUAAAGCAACCAGUCAAUGAUUUUUCUCUACACCCACUUGAUUCACAUGUAUAGCUCGCGGUUGUCAAAGAUUUCCCAUCCAUCAUCCACAAGAUCCGUGUUAUGGAUCACUGACUUAACAUCUUCAGAUGCCUUGUGCUCCUCCUCAUGACAAGACACUCUAUCCAUCUUUUCUGGAGCAUGCAACAAAUCUGCAGCCUCAUCUGAUAUCAUACUCUUCGAAGAUGAACUUGAUGACGCUAAGAUACAGCUGGUCUGCUCGGAACAUAAAGAUUUGCAAAGAGGAACACGAUCAUCAAAUUUCUCUUUCAACAACCUCACAUCUUGGCAUAUGACAGAGAUUUCACCUCUGCAAAAGGGUGCAACAAUCUAUUUGAGUAUUUUAAAUGACUAACAAGUAGAGCAAAAUAGUGGCACAAGGAUCUGGGAGGAGGGGAAAAACUGAAAACAACUGCCAGCAUGAUUAGAAAAGUAAUGCAAGACCUUUCCAAUUUGUGUUCUAUAACUUAGUCUUGUCUGACAAUACAAAUUGCGGAAAGCCCGUGCUC
rnacentral:lncRNA from 1 species